rnacentral:rRNA from 1 species
UACGUAGGGGUCGAGCGUUGUCCGGAGUUACUGGGCGUAAAGCGUGCGCAGGCGGCUCAUUGCGCCCGGCGUGAAAUCCCCCGGCUUAACCUGGGAACUGCGUCUGAUACUGGACGGCUUGAGUAUGGGAGAGGAACGUAGAAUUCCAGGUGUAGCGGUGAAAUGCGUAGAUAUCUGGAGGAACACCGGUGGCGAAGGCGGCGUCCUGGACCAACACUGACACUGAUGAGCGAAAGCCAGGGGAGCAAACGGG